GAUAGAGAGUGACGGAGGGAACAACAGAGAAAAAAGGACCCAUCAUAAUCUUCAGCUUCUUCAUUUUACUCACCGGAAAACCCACCAAAAAGAAUCACCACACAGACCCUUUCCUCUAUUUCUCACCUAAAGACCAAUCAUCCAAUCUCUAUUUCUCACCUAAACACCCAUCAUCCAAACGAACCACUGUUAAAUACUAAAAAAAAACAGUCCAAAAAAUCAGCAGUCCGCCCCUUCGUUCUUUUUUUGGUGUGAGUUCGAUUUUCAUUUUAAAAACUUUUUGAGGACUAUUUUUUGGGAUUGUGGGCAUCGGAUUCGCUGUAGAUCUGGUUUAUCUUGGGCUUUGAGUGUUUCCGUUGGAUUUUUCGUCGAGUUCCGGUUCAAAGUUCCGUUUAAGGUUGACUUGUGACAAGAUUGGAGUUGAGCCACUACCCAUCUUCCUCCAACCAAAAACAAUCAUGCGUCCAACCAUUGUAACACAAAAUUGAAAAGGAAAAGGAGUCAUGAUCGGCAAUGAAGCAAACCCGACCCUUACAGAUACUUCAAUGGAAAUCGUAGAUCAAGAAUCUUAUUUAAGAGAUGAGGUCCGAAAUCUGAAGCAACAAAUGACAGACAUGUAUCGAGCCUGGAUCAGUGGGCAACCUCCUCUACCACUCCCUUUAAGUUACUUUGAAAAUCCCUCCACGACCUCUGUAUUGGCACAAACUCAACAUAUUCCCCCAUCAUACCCGCUAGCGGAAUAAGAAGAAAUGUCUAGGAAGCUAAAAAGCGUGGAACAAUCUCUGAGAAAUUUGCAAGGUCUAAGAGGUUUUAAGAGUGUGUCAUAUAAGGACUUGUGUAUGUUUUCUGAUGUCCAAUUACCUCCGGGCUUUAAAAUUAAAAUCCCGAAGUUCGAUAUGUAUGACGGACGUGGUGAACCCAUAGCCCACUUAAGAAGGUACUGCAAUCAGUUGAGAGGAGUCGGAGGCAAAAAUGAGUUACUUAUGGCUUACUUUAGUAAGAAUUUGACGGGAAUAGCUGCAGAAUGGUAUGCAAAUCAGGACAUUUCUCAGUGGCACAUUUGGGAAGACAUGGCUCAGAAUUUUAUUCAAUAGUUUCAAUAUAACAUAGACAUGAUCCCUGACAAAAAAUCCCUGAUGAAUUUGAAGAAAAAUCCUACAGAGAGUUUUAAGGAAUUUACCAUUAGGUGGCGAGAGCAGGCUGCUAGGGUAAGACCUACAAUGAAAGAAUGUGAGAUGGUGAAGACUUUUAUCCAAGUUCAAGAAGAAGCGUAUUACCAAUUCUUGCUCCCUGCAUUGGGCAAACCCUUCAGUGAAGAAAUUAAGAUGGGAGAAAUGCUGGAAGAAGGUGUUAAAACUUGUAAAGUUGUGAGCUUUGCUACACUAAAGGAGAUCAAAGAAAAGGCCAGAUAGAUUCAGGGAGUCUAUCCAACCAGGAAGAGGAGGAAGUUGCAUUGGUUAUACCAAUAGUGCCUCGAGAUCAACAGAUUCAACCCUAGCAGUAUUCUCAACCUCCAUACCAUUUUUCUUCAAAUACCCAAUCUUUAUACCAAGCGCACUCUGAGCCUCUAAACCCCACAUAUCAUCAUUACCCAUCUCCAUCCAAUCACUCAUACUCCCAACACCUGACCCAUAAUGCUUCCCUUCAUUUUUGACAUUCUAAAAGACCUCGAUCAUCUCACUCAAGUUUUCAAGGUGCAUCCCGACCUCACAAGAGGCACUGUACGUUUCCUUCUCUAGUUGAACCUUUAUCCAGUUUGUUUGAAAGAGCUAGGGCUUUAGGGUUGCUAUAUGCGGCAGAGUUCUAGAUUCCCAAGCGCCAACAGAAAUCAUUCAAUCCUAACAAAAGAUGUGCCUACCAUUCAAAUGGGCAAGGUCAUGAUACAAACGAAUGCAUCACACUGAAAUACAAGAUCCAAGAUUUGAUUGAGGAAGGGUUGCUGCAAGCUAAUACUCUCAUGCCACCUGAUGUUGGAGGGUCGAAUUGAGGAUUGUCCUUCUGAAGUUUCAUGAAAUGACCCUCAAGUUCAAUAGCGGAUAAGAAGUGUCAUCAACUAAUCAUUUGAUAUGUGGAAAAUGUGUUUUGUGGUUUAAUUUGGAUUUUCUUUAAAAAAAGAUUGGCCCAAUUAGGGAUUUUGGACCAUAUCUUGCUUGUCUCGUUCAA